UGGGGAAUAUUGGACAAUGGAGGAAACUCUGAUCCAGCAAUUCUGUGUGUGUGAAGAAGGUUUUAGGACUGUAAAACACUUUUAGUAGGGAAGAAAAAAAUGACGGUACCUACAGAAGAAGCAACGGCUAAAUACGUGCCAGCAGCCGCGGUAAUACGUAUGUUGCGAGCGUUAUCCGGAAUUAUUGGGCUUAAAGGGCAUCUAGGCGGUAAGACAAGUUGAAGGUGAAAGCCUGUGGCUCAACCAUAGGCUUGCCUACAAAACUGUUGAACUAGAGUACUGGAAAGGUGGGUGGAACUACACGAGUAGAGGUGAAAUUCGUAGAUAUGUGUAGGAAUGCCGAUGAUGAAGAUAACUCACUGGACAGAAACUGACGCUGAAGUGCGAAAGCUAGGGGAGCAAACAGG
rnacentral:rRNA from 1 species